AUGACUAAGGCUCCCCCUCCUCUCCCCCCACCUCCCCCCGGCCGGGCUUCCCCCCCACCUCCCCGGAACAGGCGCCUGGAGCGGCUUAGGAGCCGCCGUCGCCGCCGCGGUUUUCGGAGGAACCCCCAACCCCGGGAGAUCGGGAGGCGGAGAGGGGGAGAGACCCCGAGCGCGCGAGAAUCAAGCCGGGGACGGCCAGGGAGAGGCGGCGGGAGAGAGAAACAGACCCGAGGGAGCCAGGCGGAGAGCCAGAGGCGCCGAGAGGCGAGAGAGGGGGAGAGGGGAAGUGGGGAGAGGGGGAGAGAGAGAGGGAGAGAGGGAGAGAGGGAGGGAGAGGGAGGGAGAGGAGCGCGCGAGGCGGCGCGCGGAUCGCGGCCCCAGCGCGGGAGAGAGGAGGACCGCGCAGGGGCGAGGGGCAGCCGCCGAGCCCCGCCGAGCCCCGCCGAGCCCCGCCGCCGCCCCCGCCGCCCCCGCCGCUGCCCACCUGCCCCUCCCGGGCUCCUCGCGGCGCCGGCGGCUCGGCGGGGCUCGCUCCCGGCCCGCAGUCCCGGCCGCUGCCCCCGCCCUCCCGGCAGCCCGGCCCCCUCCCGCGCGCCCCGCCCCCCUCCCCGCCUCCCUCCUUCCCGCCAGCCCGGGGAGGCUGCGGGGCUCGGGCCCGUCGGCCCCCUGUCGCCCGCCGGCCGCGCGCCCGGGGGAGGGGCGGGGAGGGGAGGAGCGGGGAGGGGAGGGGAGGGGGGCGGGGGCUGCGUCGGCCCCAGCCCUCCCGCCGGGCCCCGAUCCCCGCCGCCGCCGCCCCGCGAGCGCCCGGGACCGGACGGGCCGCCGGCCGCAACGCGGUGCCAGUUCGGGCGCCCGCGCCGCUCCCUCCGCUUGCCGGGUCCCGGUCCCGGUCCCGGUCCCGGUCCCGGUCCCGGUCGCGGCGCCCCGUUCCGCCCGGACCUGCGCCGCCGCGGGGGCUGGGACGCAGGGCGAACGCCGCGGGGGCUGCCCAGAGGCCGGGCCCCGCUCCACUUUGCGCAAACUUGUUUUCCUAAGGUCAGCGCCGCGAGCCGGCUACAUCGUCCUCUUAAGGUGGACCGGGGAAGUUGCGGCCGGCCUCCCCCUCGCCUCCGGACCCGGGCCGCGCGGCGGGGCCCCGCUUCCCGCCCGCUGGCGGCCGGCGAGCGGCUGGAGGCGGCGCGGGAGGGAGGGGGCCGGGGACGCGGCGGGGGUGCCCGCCUUCGGCCGCUCGGGGACUGCCCCUGCCCCUGGGCCCGAAGCCCGACGCCCCUCGGGGGGUAG
rnacentral:lncRNA from 1 species